rnacentral:lncRNA from 1 species
AUGGGCACUGCCCUGCCUCGGUUUGGCUUGCCGGGCAUCUGCCAGCUGUUGGAAGCCUCCCGCUGCGCGAUGCUUUCCGUGCACCGCGGCUGUGAUGGGGGCCGUGCUGCGGGCUCCCCCAGGUAUUUAUUACGAGGCCCUCCAGGGCUGGAGCAGCAGCCGGAGCCGGGAUGCGCUUUUUUAAGGGGAAAAUGCCCCCCUGCCCCGGAACCGCGCCGAGAGCCGGAGGAGGGAGUGGGACGGCUGCGCCCAGGGCUCGUGGGGUGGGUGCCACGGGGCCAGAAGGGUCCCUUAGGGGACGGAGAGGAGGGGAAGCCCCGGGGGCGGGUGGGCAGCCGGGCAGAGCGGCCCGGAGGGGCUGGCACGAAGGGGAAGGCAGCGGGUGGGCCGCGGCAGCAGGGUGGGGGGGACCCAAACCACGGGGCUCCCGGCCCGGCGGCGGCCCAGGCCCGGCCCCGUCGGGGCGGAGCGGGGCGGCCCCUCCCGGUGNNNNNNNNNNNNNNNNNNNNNNNNNGUGAGCGAGCGGGGCGGCGCGGCCUGGCCGGGUGGGUGGCGGCGGUGGCGGUGGAGCCGGAGCCGUUCCCCGCGGCGCCCAGCCCCGGGAGGUGCAGGCCCCGCCGCGGGAGGGCCCCGGCCGCAGGCCCCGAGGCACGGGAGGAGGCCCCGGGGGGGGGGGAACCGGGGGGGGCCGGUGCGGGGCCGGGGGUGCGCGGCCGUGUUGGGCGCGGAGGGGUCCGAUCCCCGGGCCCGGCCGCCCGGCGGAGGUGGGCGCAGCGGCGGUGCCCGUCCUGCUCGGCUCUGAAAGCUUCCCCGGGGCCCCUCCGGGAGGGAACGCAGCGCCGUGGGCUUGGUCCCGGCUGCCCGGGGAGUUCCCGGAGGAUCUGGGGGGCCGGUUCUGCUCAACGGGCUCGCUCUCUGAGCUGGCCCCGCGGCCAGGGCUGGGCUGGGCGGCACCAGCAGGUCCCUGCUGCGCCUCCCUCUCCUGCAGGUCCUUGGGGGGCUGGGAGGAGCGGGACGGAGCCCCCCGUGCCCCCCGUGCCCAUGCCUGCGAAGCAGACGCGGCUGGCCCCAUCGCUGCAGGCACGUGUGACACCGGGGUGGGUGCUCGAGGAGAGGCGUGAGGGCAGGUCGCGCCGGUAG